GGAAGUGGUUCACUCUAAGCAGUGAAUUGACGGUUGCUCUAUUAUCCCUUAGUUAUCGUUGUGUUCCCACUGAGUAGGUACCUACAGUAUAUCAUCGUGUUUUGAUUGUCACGUUUUACUCAUAUUGUUUUUAAAAUAUUUUUUUCUCCUGAUUUAGCGUCAGUUAGGCUGCUUAGCUGCCGACGUUAGCUUGACCAUCUGUUAGCUUGAAGCAGUCAGGAUGAUGAAGAUAAAUAACCGAAGGAGAGAAACGGAUUGACGGGAGCAGGCUGGGUGUGUUUGUGUCUGAAGUAGCAGCUAAAAUGUCAUCGCUGGAGGACCUGAGAUUAAAACCCUCCGUUGAAUCAACCAAAGCUAACGACGUCCAGCAGCUGAAAGUAAUCAAAGAGGAGCAGGCCCACAGUCCCAAACUGGACCAGGAUGACCAGAACCACCCACAGAUUAAAGAAGAGCAGGAGGAAGCUGAGAUUUUUGAGUUCCAAUUUAAUACCGUCAAGAGUGAAGAGGAUGAAGAGAAAUCUGAGUCUACAAAGCUUCAUCAAACCCUGACUGAAGAGAAUGGAGACUUUAUGGGACCAGAACCAGAUGAAUGUUCAGAAUCAGAUCAUGAAGAAAAAAGUUCUGGUUCUUCAGAGACGGAUGUCAGCGAUGGAAACUGGGAGGAGAGCGGUGAACCACAGCCAAGUUUAAAGUCAGGUGAUAUAUUCUGUGACAUCGAGUAUAAACUACACACUUGUAGUGAUUGCGGGAAAGCGUUCAGCCGCAGGGAACGUCUGUUGAGACACAGAAAAGUCCACACAGGAGGGAGACCCUUCAGCUGCUCUUUUUGUGAUGCGACUUUUAAAAGAAAGUAUACUUUAGUGCAACACCUGAGAACCCACACAGGCGAGAAACCAUUUAGCUGCUCCAUCUGUGGCCAAAGCUACCGACACAGUGUGGGACUGAGCCGCCACAUGAGGAGCCACACAGGGGGAAAACCAUACACCUGCUCCUUCUGUAAGGCCACCUUCAGAUGGAAAAACACUUUCCUGGAGCACACGAGGAUCCACACGGGGGAAAAACCCUUCAGUUGUGCCGUCUGUAACGCAACAUUCACAUGGAAGAAUUCCUAUGUGGAACACAUGAGAAUUCAUACGGGAGAGAGACCCUACGGCUGCACCCUGUGUGAUGCAUCCUUCAAAAGAAAAUAUACUCUAAAGCAGCACAUGAGAACCCACACGGGUGAGAAACCUUUCAUCUGCUCCAUAUGCAGUCAGAGUUAUCGACACAACGCGGGUUUGAACCGUCAUAUGAGGAGUCACACAGGGGAGAAACCUUACACCUGCACCGUGUGCAAGGCUGCUUUUAAAUGGAAGAACGCUCUGAUGGAGCACACAAGAAUCCACACAGGAGAAAAACCUUUCAACUGCUCUGUCUGUGCAGCAGCUUUUAGGAGGAAACAGGAUUUUGUGAACCACACACGAGUUCACAGCGGAGAAAAAGCCUUUAGUUGUUCCGUUUGUGGUCAAGGAUUCAGCAAAACCUUAUAUUUAAAUUCUCACAUGAGAAUUCAUGAAGGACAGGAACCGUUGUGCUCUGCUGUCUGAUUACUAAAAAAAUUACCUUAAAUGUGUUCGAAGCAGGAGAUGAGACUAUUUAAAAGGUAAAAAACCUAAAAAAAAUUUGCUUUAACAUUGUAGAAAGAAGCAAAACCACUGGCUGUGGGGACUUUAUUAAAGUGGCAUGGAUUUAUUGAUGUUCAUAAAAAAAUUCAACUUUUUUGGUAUUUGGAUGUAGUGAGUUUUAAAAAAAUUAAAUCUCGAUCAGGGAUAUGAAACUCCAGUCCUUCAGCUAAGGUACUUUUUUUAACACCCUUAUCACAUAAUUAAAUUGUUAGCUGGACUCUGUAGAACUGGAAGAUGACAGAUGUUCCCUCAAACUGGACAUUAAACAUACAGGAAUUAGGAUGCAAUUCCUUCUUGUGAAAGUUUUUCUCAUUCAGUUUCAAUUCAUAGCUUAGCUUCAUCCUAAUUUAUCAAAUUAGAAUAAAAAGUUAUUUUAGACUAAAACAUGAUUCAAUAAGCUGUACUGAAUCAUGAGCUUUGUUGGGCCCCGAUGAUUCAGUGCAUUGACUUGCACCAGAUCAUUGCCUUCUCUGUGUGAAAUCACUGAUGUGCUAUUUGUUGAAGCAUCGCAUCGUUCCAAGUUCAUCAGUUUUACUUCAUGUUUGUGCCAAGAACAAAACUGUGGAACGCAUUUCUAAUGUGAAAUAAACCGGAGCUUUAUAUUGCGAACAUUUGAGUUAAUGUAAUGUUUUUAAGCUACUUUUAAGUCUUUUUUAAGGAGGUAAAUCAAUGACGAAAACCACCACAAGAAGUCACCUUUAUAAGCUGCCUCAAAGCAUGUAGAGAGCACAACAAAGGUGAAAGAUUAAGGUGUUCUGGUCUUUUUUUACCAGAACUUUUCUUUUACCUGCAGUCAACAGUAUGUAUGGAGGAAAACUACGGCUACUUCUCUGAAAACUAAGAUCCAUGUGGUGGAAAAUGGUGGUGGGAUCAUCAUGCUGUUGGGGAGCUUUUCAUCAGCAGGAAGAUGACUAGAGCUAAGUACAGAUUUAUGAUUUAUUUUAUUUAAAACAGGGACAGUAUUAACCACUGCAGCAGGUUACAGCCCUAAGUGCCAAUUUCCGCCUGUAGUCACGGAUCCAGCUGAUACAAUUUCUAAAAAGAAAAAAAAUACGUGAAAACAUCUGGAUGCUAUUCAGUUUAUAUCAGAAGGAUGUUGUACAGUACUGCAGGAAAUCCGGUUAGAAGCCGCAAACGAUUAAAGACUGAGAACCAACCUCCUUUGGCCCAGUCAAAGUCCAGUUCUGAAACAAGUAAUGCUUUAAAUCUAAUGUUAGGAGACGUCUAUUAAUCUGACUGAGCUGGAUCUAGUCUGCAAACAUGAAUCCGCAAAACUUUCGUUUCUUGAUGUGGAAGCUGGUAAAAAAAAAAACAUAUUAAGGGAAUGUAGUGAAAACUUUGACUCAGUGGAGCUAAACCAGAUGCUAGGUACUCUUUGGAUUAUUUCAUUAAAAUAACCAAAUACAUUGAAAUAUUUUUAAAAUUAUGCUAACUUUGUGUUGGUUUAUCAAAUAAAAAUUACAAUACAUUGACAUUUGCAGUAAUAACAAUGGGUGUGAAAACCUUUGAAAUGCCCUGAAUGUGUGAAUGUGUGUCAGCAUCGGCCUGCUUCCUAUUGCAGCUCUAGCAGCGCUGCAGAUGCUGGAUCCAGUAAUUACUCCAUCUUAUCUUUGAGGGCUGGAAGCUGGGAGCUAAAUGCCAUCCUGUUCCUGAUUCUGGCUGAUAAAUCUACGCCCGCCUGAAUGACAUGUUAAAGGUUUACUUAGUCAGACCUGGCCCGCUGUGAUUGGACGAUUCAGACCCACUGGGUAAAGAAAUGUCUGCAUGUUUCACCAUUCUGUUGGUCUCAAUCUGUUGAUCCAUGACAAUAUUCCUAAAUAAAUAUGGAUUAUUGAAUGCAAAAAUAAACAGAAGAUUUUAUCACUGCUUUAUUAUUGGGUGUUGUGUUACGUAUUGAAACAUGAAAGUUGUGCUUCACUAACUUGUUGGAUUUAAUAAUUUUUUUCAAACACAUUUUUUGUUAAUAUUGUAAAAACCACAUUGUCUGGAUUUCAGCCAUGUUUAUAAAGGGUAAUGAUGCAUAUUUUUCUUAUUCAAAGCUGCCAUAUGUUACAUUUGCAGUUCCUUAGGAGUUAAAUCUGUUUUAUGUUCCUUUUUCUCUUAACUUUAGUGGAAUAAAUAAGGAGUUUAAA